UUUAUCCACUCCCCCAUACACCUUCAUGGCAUAAUGCUUAAUUAGUUAAGCACAGGGACACCUCCCCCCCCCUUGAAGUAGUUGGAAAGGUACUGCCAACACAUUUAUUAGCUGUGCAUCCUAUUGGAAUAGCACAUGUGGGCAGUCCAGCUGGCCAAGGGGUUGCAUUUUUGCAAUAAUAUCAUCAUACCCAAGUUAGGAUUUGCCCACUAGCCCAUAAUUACUGGGAGAUUUAUAAUCCCUGUUCAUGGCCACUAAAGGUUAAUACCAGUAAUUUUAAAAAUAAAAACUGUAACAAAAUUCAUUGAUCUGAAUUACUGUUCUGAAAUUUUUGCAUACUAGCUUGCCCAGUCAACUCAUCUUACUGAGCUGCUGACUGUACUUUUCAAGCCUUGCCUGUGUUGGUGUGCAAGAUACGUAUUUUGUACCUUGUAACUUCUGUAUGGAGUCCUGUUAAGAUAUCAGCCUUCUGUCCAUUAUAUGGGAGGCUGGGUGGACCCAGGAGCUGGUCCAGAUAUGGCUGUAAAGAGAAGACUCCUGCAUCUGCCAGAGUUUAAUCCUGGUCAUCAAGUCUGAACCCACUAAUUUUGCUAAACAUGCUCUCUUCACUUAAAAUAAUGUCUGUUAUGUUUUGUACCUUUAAAAUUUCACAACCAGCCAAUUGACUAUAAGCUUCUAAAGCAGUCCUCAUGCCCAUUAAAUUGUUUAAUUGAUAAUGAACAUUAAUAUAAUUUAAUUCUUGUGUUAGACUUCACAUCAGGUGAUUUCAUGUAGUGUGUGAAAUUCUUUGAUACUCAGUUUACAUCUGACACUUCUGUGAGUUGAUUUCCUAAUAAAAAAUAUUUAAGAAGCCACUAUGCAGCAUUCCAGUUUUCAUUUAAAUAAUAUCUGAUUGAUUCUUAGGUUAUUUUAUGACACUACAUAGGAUCUGAGAUUCUCAUAGCAAUGGUCAUGAAGUCUUCUGGGAAAUAAUUCCAUGUUACCCAUUGAAAGUUAACCAGCGUUCUGGAGGGACAUGUUACCUCCAACUGCAGGGUUGAAGAAGGCAAGGGAGACACCAGCAUGAAGCAGGUAGCAAGCAGGGGUCACAGUUCCCCAGCACACUAGGCUGGCUUUUCUGACCUAGUAGGAUCCAAUGAACUAUUGCCCCAAAAAGUAGUUUAAUUCCUACUGUUUUUCUUAUUUUCGAUUGGUGAUAACAGCCUGAGUGGCUUCAAACCACUUGCUAAGUGCUUCAUGCUCAUGUCUUGCUUGGCUUCCUUUUUUGACACUGAAGAUGGAGGUGACAUGUUCCUCCAAAACACUGGUUGACUUUUAGCACACUACACAGAGUUAUAUCCCAGCAGAUACAUCUCUUCAUUAUAUGACUCUGUUUUACCUGCAGAGGUAAUACAGCAUUGAAUGAGAUGAUAAUGAAAGUGAGCAGGUAAUAAUAUGCAACAGGCAGUCAUGUCAUAUUUCAAGGGUAAGUCACCCUGAUCUGAGUGUCUUGAUUGAGUGGCACUGUUGUUUGUUGAUGCCUGCUUCUCAGCAUUUGAGGGGAAAUGUGCUGCAGUUGCUCAAAGGAAAUGCAUUUCUGCUGUCCCCAUUCUCAUGUUUCAUGCCAUGAUAGGAGGCUUGAAACUGAUUGACAUAUGAGUCCCACAAUAAUGAGGAUCAUCUGUAACCAGGGUUUAAAGAAAUGACCCAUUUGUUUUUAGAGAGAGUGCAUGCAUGUGUGUAUCUUUUAUAGUACAACAGAAAAAAGAAUAUAACCUGAUUCUAUGGUAGGCUGUCAUCAUUAACUGAAAACAAAAAAA